UGUAUUUCAUGCUUAUCUAAUUAGGGGUUGUACAUGCCUCCUUAAUUAAAAUUUCCUCCCUCUCUGUCUCUGGAGCCAUACGCGAGGAGGAGGAGCUUGGGUGGAGCGUUCGUCGCCGACGUCGCAUCGCCAAGCCGUUUGAGCGCACGUUUGUCGCCAUAGCGUCGCGUGGAGGCCGGGCGAGGGUGCGUUUUCGCCAUCCUCGACGUCGCACCGGCGCUGGAUUCGCUGUCGAUGUGGGUACCUAACUUUCCUCCUUGGAUUACUUGAACGCACGAUUUUGAGCUCGCGUGCUGAUUUUACUGAUUUUCAGCGUCGGCCAUCAGUGUUUCGGCUCGUACUCGGCGUAGGAAAGUCGGAUUUCGACGGGACUUGGUUCGUUGGAUUCAGGACUUCGAGAGGAAUCCACGAAGCCCUUAUUUGCUGGAUUUAGUGAAGGUUUGCUAGGUCGUAUCCCUAUUUCUUUCUGCUGCUGCUGUUUUGGGCAGAAUUGAUGCUUAAUAUGGGUUUCUAUGUUUAGACCCGUGGAGCGUGUUGUCGCUGGUUCGGGGAGCUGCGCCGAGCUUGACAGGGACUCCGGUGACCUUCUUCACCGUCGGGGAUUUGCGAUUAAGGUGGGUUAAUCAUCGGUUUACUCCUAAGUGCCUAUAUAGUCGACAUGUAAUUGUGGAAUUAUCUUGUGUGGCGCAAUUGCUCGGUUCAUUGAUUUAGUAUGGUUAAUAAUCUGAAUUGGAGCUGAGUUAUUAUCUUUGGAUAUAUAUAUACAUGUUGGACUUGGAUAAGACUUAGGAGAAAACUCGCGAUUAUGAUCGUCAUAUAUUUAAACUACCUGAUUUAGCCCUAGGGGCCGUUGUAUUAUUUUAUACUGUAGCAGUAUCCUCAUAGUGAGUAUUCCAGAUAGUUUAGCUUUCAGUUACGCUCGUGCCGGGAUGCCGAGUAUAUUUUUACAGUAGCGUUCAGGCUGUUCCGGACUGUUGGGUGCCGUCGGGGUUGACGGUGGACCCGUAUCGCCUUUUUGGCGUCGGAUUGUGCCGAGGGCACGUUACCUGUUGGUUGUUAGACCAGUUUGAGUCGGUUACUGGACUUUGGCUUUUGAGAGCCUGAUUGAGCUCGACAGAGAUACGCUGCAUACUCGGUUGGGUAGCUCCCACGAGUGCCACUCCGGAGACGGGCGCUGUGCUUUCGCGUUCGUGUCGCUCAUGCCGGUUGGACUUGCUCUCCACGGACUAGUAGUGUGGAGGUAGCUGGAUAGUCACAACUGAGCAGGGACGGGUGUGUUCACAGUCCCAGGGACGGGUAUGCUUACAGUCCCGAUUGGAUUGGGUCAAAUUUGACAUUUCCUACAGUUGGUUAAUGUAGAGCAUGAUAGUGUAGUGAUUCAUAGCAGUAGAUUUUAUUCCUGUAUUGACUACUAUCCUGGCUCCCUUCUGUAGACUUAGUGGGUAGACCGAUGUGGUUUAGGGCGGCACCCACUAAGGACUACCUGUUUUUAUAGUAGUUCUCACGCCCUGUUGUUACACAUUAUUUUUGCAGAGCCAUCGUCGUCGGCUGCUGCUAUCGCAGAUCAGGAUCGAGGCAAGGGCGUCACGAGUUAGAGCACUACCCGACAUGCCAAGCUAGAGGUACCCUACUGCUGGUAGAUAUUUUAUUUUGAGUUCAUGUACAUAGUAUACUUAACUCGCCAGUGCGAGUAGCUCUGUAUUUUGAUUUUUGGACUAUGUAUAUGGAUCUCCGUUUAUUUAGCUUCUGUUUACUCUAGCAGCUCUAUACUACUGUUUGUAGUAUUGUUUGGUUUACAGAUACAGCUGUCGCUUCGUAUACAGGAAAAAUUCCUUUGCAUACGGCGGAUUUGUCGGCGUGCCCGUGGAACGUGUAAUCCGGGGCGUGACAGAUUAAGUUGGUAUCAAAGCUUAGCUGUAGGUCGUUGGGACCUAGAAAACCUAAGUUUGGCAAACCUUAGGAAGGCAAGACGCGAGAGGCGUAAUUUAUUGCGAAAGUCAAUGAUUAAUUGUUCUAACUCCUCCUAGAGUGGAGUGAGUGAUUGAAGGAGUUCCUGUUUUGGCUUGAGAAAUUAUGU
rnacentral:lncRNA from 1 species